rnacentral:rRNA from 1 species
CAAUAGCGUAUAUUAAAGUUGUUGCAGUUAAAAAGCUCGUAGUUGGACCUUGGACCUGGACAGGCGGUCCGCCUCACGGCGUGUACUGUCUUGCUGGGUCUUUCCUCUUGGUGAUCUGUUGUUUCGGCAGCAGGGAACCAGGACUUUUACUUUGAAAAAAUUAGAGUGUUCAGAGCAGGCUCGACGCCGGAAUAUAUUAGCAUGGAAUAAUAAAAUAGGACGUGCGGUUCUAUUUUGUUGGUUUUUGGAAUCGCCGUAAUGAUUAAUAGGGACAGUCGGGGGCAUUAGUACUCACAUGCUAGAGGUGAAAUUCUUGGAUUUUGUGAAGACUAACUUCUGCGAAAGCAUUUGCCAAGGAUGUUUUCAUUAA